AUUGAACGCUGGCGGCAGGCCUAACACAUGCAAGUCGAACGGUAACAGAAAGCAGCUUGCUGCUUUGCUGACGAGUGGCGGACGGGUGAGUAAUGUCUGGGAAACUGCCUGAUGGAGGGGGAUAACUACUGGAAACGGUAGCUAAUACCGCAUAACGUCGCAAGACCAAAGAGGGGGACCUUCUGGCCUCUUGCCAUCGGAUGUGCCCAGAUGGGAUUAGCUAGUAGGUGGGGUAAAGGCUCACCUAGGCGACGAUCCCUAGCUGGUCUGAGAGGAUGACCAGCCACACUGGAACUGCGCCACGGUCCAGACUCCUACGGGAGGCAGCAGUGGGGAAUAUUGCACAAUGGGCGCAAGCCUGAUGCAGCCAUGCCGCGUGUAUGAAGACGGCCUUCGGGUUGUAAAGUACUUUCAGCGGGGAGGAAGGGAGUAAAGUUAAUACCUUUGCUCAUUGACGUUACCCGCAGAAGAAGCACCGGCUAACUCCGUG
rnacentral:rRNA from 1 species